rnacentral:rRNA from 1 species
CGUUUGCUCCCCAAGGGAAGCAUGCCCGCGGACGACUUAACAACGUUGUACACAACUCUCAUCAGACCCAUCUUUGAGUAUGCUAACGUUGUGUAUUUCGGAUGCACGAAUAUGGAUACACGAACUCUCAGUCAAACAUUUUCGAAUCCGUGCAAAAAAGGGCCGUGAUGAUAAUAAACCGGAACAGCAGUACCCCGUCGGCAACUCUCCUGCCUACUCUCCAAGCAGCAUCAUGCUAGCAGUAAAACUCUUUGACCAGAUGCGUGCCUGUGAUCACACUCUGCACCACAUGAUCACCAGCGACAGACAACAGCAGACGGGAAGAACUCUACGAAUAGGUUAAACUUGAGGUCCGUCGUGAACGCAUGUAGGAAGGGGGCACAUUUACACAAAACAUAUUCGCGGGGAAAUAGAUUCGCGGUACAAAGGUCACCGCGAAUUCCGCGAAUCUAAAUAUACCUCGGAAAUUUGCAGACUUACAGUAGAUAGAAGAUGUCUCCUUGCAGCACACCUCUUGAGAUUUUUAACAGUUCUGAGAGCCCUUGGUUGCCGUUGGGGCUUGUCACACAGACGCUCCCGGUGUCCACGCUAAAUAUAGCUUAUCUGUUCACCUUGAGACAUGCACCAGCAGGGAUGAGCGCUUAAUCGAGGAAGGGUUGACUUUCAGUUUCAAACGCAGCGGCAUAGCCAAUAAAGGUUUAACUACUGGUUUUGCCUCGCCUCAGGACGAAGACAUUGUCGCGAGUGUCCCUUGAGGCUCUGAAACCAUCCUGCGUGUCUGGGAUCAGUGGUAUAGGAGCGGAAGACUAAUCGCAUUUUCUAGUAGCUGGUUCCCUCCGAAGUCUCUUUAGGAUAGUUGGCACUUUGUCGCAGUUUUGUCUCAUAAAGCGAAUGAUUAGAGGUCUUGGGGGCGAAACUACCUAUCAUCAAACUUUCAAUUGGUAAAUCGUCCAACUCGCUCGAGUGGAGCCGAGCCUGGAAUGUGCUCAGUGGGCCACUAUUGGUAAGGAAAACUGGCGCUGCGGGGUAACCGAAGGCAGGGUUAGGGUGCCCGAUGCGCACGCUCAUCAGAAAAGGUGUUGGUUGAUACAGACAGCAGGACGGUGGCCAUGGAAGUCGGAAUCCGCUAAGGAGUGUGUAACAACUCACCUGCCGAAUCAACUAGCCCUGAAAAUGGACGGCGCUGGAGCGUCGAGCCCAUACCCGGCCGUCGCGGCAGUCCGCUCCGGCCGAGCCAGGCCGCGACAAGUAGGAGGGCCGCAGCGGUGAGUGCCAAAGCCUUGGACGCGAGCCCGGGUUGAGGCGCCGCAGGUGCAGAUCUUGGUGGUAGUAGCAAAUAUUCAAAUGAGAACUUUGAAGACCAAAGCGGAGAAUGGUUGUGAACAGCAUUUGGAAAUGGGUCAGUCGGUCCUAAACGUUAGGCGAAGCUUCAAACACCGUUUGAAAGUGUGGCGCUGGCCGCCCGGCCUAUUGAAAGAAAACGUUCCCGACCUCGACCGCGGAGAAUGGCGCCAGGCCUUAUGCCAGGUCGCCCGGUGCGGCAACGCAAACCGACUCGGAGACGUCGGCCUGGGACCCGGGAAGAGUUCUCUUUUCUUUGCAAUGGGCGCGUGCCCUGGAAUCGGUUCGCCCGGAGAUAGGGAAAGCACUGCGGCUCUUGCGGUGUCCGGUGCGCUCAGGUCGGCCCUUUAAAAAUCUGCGGGAGAGGCGUGCGAUUUUCGCGUCUUUCCGUACUCAUAACUGCAGCAGGCAUCUCCCUCAGAUUUUUAAAGGACCGACCUCUAGUCGAUUAUAGAACAAUGUAGGUAAAGGAAGUCGGCACGCCGGAUCCAUAAUUUCGGGAGAAGGAUUGGCUCUAAGGGCUGGGCCGGUCGGGCUGGGACCAGAAGCGAGACGGGAAUGUCCGGGGCUGGGCGAAGCCCGCUCGUCGUGUCGAUCCCGGACCUAGCAACGUGACUGAAUCUUGGACUGCCUCAGCUGUGCGGUCGGGGGCUUGCUCUCCCGCUCCUCUUCGGCCAGUUCGACUGUUUGAUUAAAACGUUGCGAUGACCGUCAGGUGGUGUUGACGCAAUGUGAUUUCUGCCCAGUGCUCUAAAUGUCGAAGUGAAGAAAUUCAACCAAGCGCCGGGAGUAAAUAUGACUCUCAUAAGGUAGCCAAAUCCCUCGUCAUCUAAUUAUAGACACGCAAGAAUGGAUUAACGAGAGUCCCACUGCACCGUGCCCACUGUCCCUAUUUACAACCUCAGAAACCAAAAUCCAAGGGAACGGGCUUGGCAGAAUCAGCGGGGAAAGAAGACCCUGUUGAGCUUGACUCUAGUCCGACUCUGUGAAGGGACAUGAAAGGUGUAGCAUAGGUAUGAGGCCCUCGGGCCGUCGGUGAACUACCACUACUCUCAUCGUUUCUUUACUUACUGGGUGAGGCGGAAAGCGAGCCCCUCGCGAACUUUCCCUUCUGGCGUUAAGCGCACCGACUGGCCGCGGUCGUAGCGGUCGUCAGCCGGGCGCGAUCUGCUACCAAUACAGUGUCAGGCGGGCAGUUUUCCUAUCAUUGUGUAGCAGAAUUCACCAAGCGUUGGAUUGUUCACCCACUUAUAGGGAACGUGAGCUGGGUUUAGACCGUCGUGAGACAGGUUAGUUUUACCCUACUGAUGAAGUGUUGUUGCGAUGGCAAUCCUGCUCAGUACGAGAGAAACCGCAGGUUCAGACAUUUGGUUCAGGCGCUCGGCUGAUGAGCCGGUGGUGCGAGGCUACCAGGGAUUAUGACUGAACACCUCUAAGUCAGAAUCCCGCCCAGAAAACAACGAAACGCUUAGCGCCCCCUUUGGAAUGACAGGCGUAAGGCCUGGAAGAGCCACUUGC